rnacentral:rRNA from 1 species
UACGGGGGGAGCAAGCGUUGUUCGGAUUUACUGGGCGUAAAGGGCGCGUAGGCGGCGCAACAAGUCACUUGUGAAAUCUCCGGGCUUAACCCGGAGCGGCCAAGUGAUACUGUCGUGCUAGAGUGCGGAAGGGGCUACUGGAAUUCUCGGUGUAGCGGUGAAAUUCGUAGAUAUUCGCAAGAACACCAGUGGCGAAGGCGGCUCACUGGCCCGAUACUGACGCUGAGGUGCGAAAGCGUGGGGAGCAAACAGG